GUGAGGAAUAUUGGUCAAUGGGCGAGAGCCUGAACCAGCCAAGUAGCGUGCAGGAUGACGGCCCUAUGGGUUGUAAACUGCUUUUACACGGGGAUAAAGUGUGCGACGUGUCGUUCAUUGCAGGUACCGUGCGAAUAAGGACCGGCUAAUUCCGUGCCAGCAGCCGCGGUAAUACGGAAGGUCCGGGCGUUAUCCGGAUUUAUUGGGUUUAAAGGGAGCGUAGGCCGUCUGUUAAGCGUGUUGUGAAAUGUAGAUGCUCAACAUCUGAAUUGCAUCGCGAACUGACCGACUUGAGUGCGCAGGAAGUAGGCGGAAUUCGUGGUGUAGCGGUGAAAUGCUUAGAUAUCACGAAGAACUCCGAUUGCGAAGGCAGCUUACUGUAGCGCCACUGACGCUGAAGCUCGAAAGUGCGGGUAUCGAACAGGAUUAGAAACCCGUGUAGUCC
rnacentral:rRNA from 1 species